rnacentral:rRNA from 1 species
GUGAUGUUAUUGUAAUUUAAUUUAAUUUAAUUUAUAAUAUCAUUAAUUGAUAAAGUGGUGUUAAAUAAGGCGUGGCGCAAGCUCGCCUUUACUCACUUUAACCAAAGUUGAGUUUGGUGAUGGCUCUGAUUGAACACUGUCCAAAUACUUGACACAUGCUAAUCGAACGUUUAAUUAAAUUUUACAGUUGCAGUAAAGUUAUUCUUUCCUUUCUGUAAAACUGGUUAUUAAGGAGGUUUAAAUUUAGGGUUUAUUCUCCUCUAUUUAUAAGGUUAAUCUCUCUAAAGGGGUUUUUUUAAUUAAAAGUGGUGUACAGGUGAGUAUUAUGGUUUUUUGUACUACCUAAAAGUAAAGGCAAAUCCUUUAUAGUAAUAAAGAACGGUCAUGUUCGCUUUUAGAUGAAGAUAAAAAAUCUCGGGGAAAGGUAGUUGUUAAGGUAAUUGCUUAACAAGCCUAGUAUUCUCUUAGUCGAAGCUGAGAAAGGUUGAUCGACCACAUUGGGGAUGAAAAAAUCCCAAGGCAAACGAAGUACAGCAGUGAGGAAUAUUGGUCAAUGGCCUAACGGCUGAACUGGUAACUUGGAAGAAUGGCUCCAUAAAAAUGGAGUUAAUCGAUUUAUCGAAUAAAAUUCUGUAUACAUACCUAUAAUGACGGUAUGUACAUCUUGUCUUGACCAAUUGCGUGCCAGCAGUCGCGGCAAUACGUAAGAGACUAGUGUUAUUCAUCUUAAAUAGGUUUAAAGGGUACUUAGACGGUAGAAUUUGCCUUAACGGGAACAAUUUUACUAGAGUUUUAUAUAAGAAGAUCUUACUCUAGAGUGUAGAGUUGUAAUUCAUUAAUACCUAGGGGACUGGUAAAGGCGAAGGCAAUCUUUUAUAUAAAAACUGACGUUGAAGGACGAAGGCUUAGGUCACAAAAAGGAUUAGAUACCCAAGUAGUCUUAGCAGUCAAUUAUGAAUGCCAUAGGUUAGAUAUAGUUAAAUACAAACAAGGGCGUAAGCUCGUAUUAAAUUUUACCAUCUAGUCUAUAAAUGAAAGUGUAAGCAUUUCACCUCAAGAGUAAUGUGGCAACGCAGGAACUGAAAUCACUAGACCGUUUCUGACACCAGCAGUGAAGUAUGUUAUUUAAUUCGAUGACCCACGAAAAACCUUACCACAACUUGAAUAUAAAAAAAUGCUAUCUACUACCAUCACUUAUUUAAAGGUAGCGGCGCGGGGCGGCGAAAGCUCCUCCUCGCUCUAAAUUUAAGUGUUAGGCGCAAGCUCUAAGAUAUAUAGCUGGCUUAAAUAUUAUUUAGCUAACUAUGCUUUUAGGUUAUAGAUUAAUGCAAGUAUUAUACAAGUGUUGCACGGCUGUCUUCAGUUGAUGUUGUGAAACUGUGGUUCGGUCCAUGGAAUUAACGAAAACCCUUGCUUUAUUUGUAAAUUCUAAAAUAAAGCAGUUCACCUGUAUAUGGGUUAUGAUAAAAGGGAUCAAGACAAGUCCUCAUGGCCUUGAUGUUGUGGGCUAUAGACGUGCCACAUGUACCUAAACAAAGAGAUGCAAAAAUGUGAAUUUUAGCUAAUCUCCCAAAAUAGGAUAAAAUUAGAUAUGGAUUGUAGUCUGAAACUCGGCUAUAUGAAUAAGAAAUUGCUAGUAAUCGUGGAUCACCAUGACACGGUGAAUAUAACUUCGGAUUGGUACUAACCACUCGUCACAUGCUGAAAGGAGUAUGCGCAAUAAGUUUGCUGUUCUGUAUUAAACAAGAAUAGAUGACGGUGCAAGCUAGAUUUUAUUUUUUAAUAUGGGGCUCUUCGUAUGUGUGACUCUGAUUAGUGUAAAGUCGAAAUACGGUUCGUGUAGUGGAAGUUGCACGGGACUUAUUAUACUUAACAAUAAAAAUUUUUAUGAAAAUCCUCAAAUCAAAUUUUGAUUGAUUUUUAUAUAUAUAUAGGAAUAUAUUCUAAAUAUCACUUGUUAUAUUUAUUAUAUACUAUAUA